UAGCUCAGUUGGUAGAGUGUUUGCCUUGCAUGCACAAGGCUCUGGGUUCAAUCCUCAG
rnacentral:tRNA from 1 species